GUGCCAGCAGCCGCGGUAAUACGAAGGGGGCGAGCGUUGUUCGGAUUUACUGGGCGUAAAGGGCGCGCAGGCGGCUUUGUUUGUCAGGCGUGAAAGCCCCGGGCUUAACCUGGGAACUGCGUUUGAUACGGCAGGGCUAGAGUUCGGGAGAGGAGCGUGGAAUUCCCAGUGUAGAGGUGAAAUUCGUAGAUAUUGGGAAGAACACCGGUGGCGAAGGCGGCGCUCUGGACCGAGACUGACGCUGAGGCGCGAAAGCGUGGGGAGCAAACAGGAUUAGAAACCCGGGUAGUCC
rnacentral:rRNA from 1 species